UUGGCAGUCUCCAGACUAUUUAGCUGACUGAUUGUGUUGGGAUUUGCACUGCGUUCGAUGUGUUUAUUUAAAUGUUCGCUCCAUUAAAUGGCCACACCUACUCACCUACAAUUACCUGUACACUUUAGGUGUUCUUAUCUACCGAACUGAUAAAAGCAGGAUAAAUUCACAUUCAACCUAAACCGAGGCACGUCGUCGUUCCAGCAGUUAACAUGCUUUUUUUAGGCGUCGUCGCCGUCGUAGUCGUUCAUUGUUCGGGGCACACAUUUGCAUUUAGACGCAACAUCGACGGCCAAUUUAGAACUUAGAGGGAGAAGCGCGGGCUGUUCGAACAUGUGCGCGCCGCUGCUGACGACGAAGACGCUCAGCGCUCGAACGUGUUUUGAUGGAGCUCUGGUUUCGCGGGGGAUGAGAUCAUAAGUUUAUAUAGUAUUUCGAUGUACGGAAAAUAUAUCGUUGGUUGGCUCACAUACAAGACGCCGCCAUCAUCAGUCAUCGAAAGUCGCUCCGGUUAAUUGAAAGCAUAGAUUCGUCGUGAUACUUAUUUGAAGCAGGCUGAUCUAAGCAGCAGGCUGUGAUGCGCGCAAAAAUAGUGUCAAAUAGAUUGGAUCUAAGCGUGCGAUGAUUAAUUUCCGUCGACGGACCACACAAACAGCAACAUGAACCGGAUCCACUGACCUUCUCUCCAAAGAAGAAUUAGAACAAAUCGUCGUUUCUAGGCAAACUAGGGCUCAAAUUAAGAUGGCAGUGUUGAUGUCCUACCACCGUUUGAUAGAGAAAGAUUCCCAACAUGUGAGCUACUGCUGGAAAAUGUCCAUUCUGAUAGUGCUGAUCGUGACGGUAGCGUCCAGCUUGAUAAUAAGCUUCAGUUUGUAUUCCUUGUGGGAAAGCUUUGGUUUGAAUUGUUUUAUGGGAGCAAAUUUGAGUUUUGUGAUUUCGUCGGAAGAUUUCGGAUAUCUGCCAGGCACGGCUCAAUUGAAUCAGAACGGAAGACAUUCGCGACAAAUUUUGCAAGAAAAUUCAACGGACGAGAAAUGUAAGUAGUUAAUAGUAAGUUAUCAAGUGUAAUUAAGGGUGAUGUCGAUCGGUGUGGGGAACAUUUUUGUCGGCUUUGAACUUAAAACUAGUUGUGAACUACUUUAUUCUAAUCUGAAUAUAGGUCAAAUAUUAAAUGAUAUGUUGAAAAGUUUAGGUAGCUAUAAAACUUCACAUCUUCUUUACAUAUUUUUGUAUUACAUUUUCUACCAAUGACAACGAACCAUAUUGCCGAACGCGCAGGUAUUCAGCAAGACCCUGAUGAAGGUAACGGGUUCAAUUCCCAGUCACUCUAGAGUUUUUUAUUUAAUUGAUAUAUUGCUGACACCUUUGGGCAUAAAUGUAAAACAGUCAUAGACAGAGAGAGUUCUUGAUAAAAAAAAAACUGUGGAAGUUCUCAUAGAACACAAGCUGGGAAGCAGGUUUUGAAGGCAUCAACAUCACGAUGUUCUCCGUGCUGUCACUUGUCCGAUAAAAGAGUAGAGUUUGACCGCUGGGCACCAGCAGGACCUGCUUAGCCGGCUCCGAACCCUUGGCCCAUUUCUUGUUUAGCGCCUACACUAGUCACUCCACAAGUACACCUCCUCUGCAGCUUAGGGACGAUUUCGCCGAUGAAACGGCAUCCCAGCUAAGUUGUCACGCAUUGUGUGUACAUGUACGUAUUGUAUUUAAAUACGGUCUUGGCACAGUCAUCAAGCAUUGAUUCCCGACCGAUUAAAAUGAAGGCAAUCACUCAUGCCUCAUGCUCACUGAUUCCCUCAGAGAUGAACUACGGUUAAGUGGAGAAGGAAGCAUUGGAUCUGAUUAUUGCUGUCCCUCGCUUCCAUGAAAGAUGCUGUACGGAUGCUACUAACUCCUGCAGACCGAUCAUCAGCCGCUUCUUAAAGUUUCCAAUUCCAAACAGUAUUCCUGU